AAGCUUCAAUUUGCGAUUUUGUUCUUCAAGUUUCAUCCUAAACGCCAUACAAUCACAGUCCUGAUCAUAAUCAUUCACCCAUCCUAUGAACUUGCAUAAUGGUCCCUGAACCAAUUAAAGUAGAUGAAGAAUUAGGGCAAAAUUAGAGAAGACGAAGAACGAAAUUGAAAUCAUUAACCUUACCUUUACUGUACAAGCAUAAUAGAGUUUCCCAGGGUUUCUUUUGCUAUAAGAUGUGCGAAUCACUGCAGUGGCUCCACAAUUGCAUUUAAUAUCGAUCAUUGUUAUGUAUUUGGAAGAAAUCGAUCGAACGAGGGGAAGAGACGAACGAGGGGAAGAGACGAACGAGAGGAUACAGAGGAAAAGAGGGUUGCAGUGUUCUUUAUAAGAUUUAAGGUGUAACGGCAUUAAAUAUGGACACAAACCCUAAAAAGACGAAAAUGCCCCUGCGUGCAAGGCACGUGGGUAGCUUAAACGGAAGGAGUUAACAGUUAACGUGCAUAGGGACUAACCAUGCAAGAUAAAUAACAACGAGGGACUGCACGAGUUAAAUUUUGGAAAUAGGGACUAAACAUGCUUUC
rnacentral:lncRNA from 1 species